rnacentral:lncRNA from 13 species
UGUAUUGUGUAUGAGGGUGUCUGUAACAUAAUUUUGACUUGUCUCACUGUGUUGUCAGACUCUAAAGGCUCUGUGUCUGGACAGUAUACGCAGUAAGAUCCUCCAGAGACUAGAGCUGUGUCUGGAUAUACUGGGAGGAACAGUGGAGAGAAUCUCCAACACAGCAGAGGUGUUGGGAGCUGUACAUCAGGAGGCUCGUGUGAGUCGAGCGGUGGAGCUGAUGGUGAGCCACGUUGACAACCUGAAGAGGCGUAAUGAGAGAGACACAGAGCUGGACGAGACCAAGAAACUCAACAGGAAAAUCCUCCGUAGGAACUACAGCGACCCUAGAGGUAAGUACCACCAGUGCAACUGUCUGGGUUCAAACUCUGAUGUCCCGCACGCCACAAGACUAUGUUAGCCCGCUGAGCUAAAGCCUAGACCUAGAUUUCAGGUCUAGGUUGUCGAUGAGGUUACUUAUCACGUAAGCAUGGUUCACUGAACCAUCAUCGGUCUACCUGAAUAUGGCUUGGUAUGUGAUAGGCACAGAUGCUGUUAUCUGACUGGUGUAUCUCUCGCUGCAGAUGAAGGAGAGUUCAGGCAGAAGGACAAUAAAACCUCUCAGCAGGUAGGAGCACUUCCCUGUCUUCAUUCAGAGGAUAUUAAGAAUUUGUUCUUAACUCACUUGCCUAGUUAAAUAAAGGUAAAAUAAAAACAAAAUAAAAAUAGAUUCACUAUGUAUAACAUUGUGUCAUAAUUUUAUCUUGUUUUAACCUCCAAUCCCUUUCCUAACUCUCUUCCUUCCUCUCGUUCUUCUAGUUGCACAUUGGUGCAAGUCGUCGAAGGGUCAGCAUAGCAGUGAUCAACAAACAAGCCCAGGUCUGCGCAGUUCAAGUCCUUCCUCUCCAAAGACAUGCACGCACCCACGCCCACCAACUAUCUGCCUAUUCUUUUGCCCCAGGAAAAGAGAAAAUUGGAAAGAGGGCUGCAGAAGUCAUUCUCAUUAGAUCAUGGGAUAGGCAAGAAGUCACUCUCAACCCCAUCUCCAUCAAUGGACUCCAUCACAGAGUCCAACCCUUCAGUCAUGGUCAAGACAGAAGAGAUGGAUGUUCCCUUCCUGGAUGGCAGACCACAUGAAGCCCCUGAUGAUAACAAACAAGCAGUUGCUGCUGAUGUCCAGUCACCACCUGAACCAGACCCCACUCCAGUCUAUACAGCACCCUGUCCCACUCUCACACACAAGCCAAACGAAGUGGACACCAAGAAAAACAGCAUGAGGUGUGGCCCUAUGUGCAGAGAGCGCUCCCUGGCCCCCUGGAUGUGGCACUGCCGCUGGGUUGUCCUCAGUGUGUAUCUGGUAGUGCUCUGCUGUGUGAUACUACUGAUCAUCCUUUUCUGGCUCGGUCCUGAACGUCUGCUGUGA